AACGAACGCUGGCGGCAUGCCUAACACAUGCAGGUCGAACGAGACCUUCGGGUCUAGUGGCGCACGGGUGCGUAACGCGUGGGAACCUGCCCUUAGGUUCGGAAUAACUCCCCGAAAGGGGUGCUAAUACCGGAUAAUGUCUUCGGACCAAAGAUUUAUCGCCCUUGGAUGGGCCCGCGUUGGAUUAGCUAGUUGGUAGGGUAAAAGCCUACCAAGGCGACGAUCCAUAGCUGGUCUGAGAGGAUGAUCAGCCACACUGGGACUGAGAAGCGGCCCAGACUCCUACGGGAGGCAGCAGAGGGGAAUAUUGGACAGUGGGCGAAGGCAUGAUCCAGCAAGGCCGGGUGAGUGAUGAAGGCCUUAGGGUUGUAAAGCUCUUUUACCCGGGAUGAUAAUGACAGUACCGGGAGAAUAAGCUCCGGCUAACUCCGUG
rnacentral:rRNA from 1 species